AAUAAAAUCGGAAAAAAACGCCCAGCCCUAUGAGGAACUAAUGCUUCCAGUCUCAUUUGACCUCAAAAAAGCCUAAUUGUUUUACCUCUUCUCAGUGUGCAGAAGCUGAGUGAAUUUCUUGGCAGCACUGAGAUCAAGAUCGAUCAGGAUCCUGCAGUGCAAACUACAGCGACAGAAAACAACAACAGCAACAUUAAGUCUGUGUAUGCAUUACAGCUCCAGGCCAAACUCGUGAAUCGUAAGAAUAAAGCCAAGCAGGACGUGAACAGGAACUUUGAGCAGCAGGACCAGGAGCUGACGGCAUCAGCCAAUCAGGACGAGGACGUGUGCAUAAAGAUUGUGAACGGCUACUUCACAUGGACGCAGGGAUGCCCGACUCUCACCAAUAUCGACAUAAAGGUUCCUUUCGGUCAGCUGACGAUGAUCGUAGGGCAGGUGGGAUGUGGGAAAUCCUCUCUUUUGCUGGCAGCACUGGGAGAGAUGCAGAAGAUUUCUGGAAACAUCACAUGGAACAGGUAAAAAUCAACAUAAUGCCGUAUUAUACU